UACGGGGGGAGCAAGCGUUGUUCGGAUUUACUGGGCGUAAAGGGCGCGUAGGCGGUCAGCACAAGUCAAUUGUGAAAUCUCCGAGCUCAACUCGGAAAGGUCAACUGAAACUGUGCGACUAGAGUGCGGAAGGGGCAACUGGAAUUCUUGGUGUAGCGGUGAAAUGCGUAGAUAUCAAGAGGAACACCUGCGGCGAAGGCGGGUUGCUGGGCCGACACUGACGCUGAAGCGCGAAAGCCAGGGGAGCGAACGGG
rnacentral:rRNA from 1 species